AUGGCGGAGCACGGCGAGGAGGAGGCGGCGACGCUCGAGUUCACGCCCACGUGGAUCGUCGCGCUCGUCUGCUCCAUCAUCGUGCUCAUCUCCCUCCUCGCCGAGCGAUGCCUCCACUACCUCGGCAAGACCUUCAAGCGGAAGAACCAGAAGCCGCUCUACGAGGCCAUCCUCAAGGUCAAAGAAGAGCUGAUGCUUCUCGGGUUCAUCUCGCUGCUGCUGACGGUGUGCCAAGGGAAGAUUCAGAACAUCUGCAUUCGUCCUAGCUGGACACUCCACAUGCUGCCAUGCCAAGGGGAGGACGAGGUUCGGGCCGGUGAGGCGGCGCCGACAAAGGAGCAUCUUGUUACAUCCCAGAUCAUCGGCAGAAUCGGGAGGCGGCUGCUCAGCGGCGGCGCGGCGGAAGUCGACGUCUGCCGGUCGAAGGGAAAAGCUCCGCUGAUGUCCCUAGAAGCUAUACAUCAGUUGCAUAUUUUCAUAUUUGUGCUGGCUAUUACACAUGUUGUGUUCAGUGUUUUGACAAUGCUUUUAGGAGGUGCAAAGAUACAUCAGUGGAAACUGUGGGAGGAUGCAAUUCAGAAAGACACUGCAGGAAAUGGGCCCAAGAAGGUGAACAAUGUACACAAUUUCGAAUUUAUCAGGGAGCAUUUUAAGGGUAUUGGCAAAGAUUCUAGAAUAUUGAGUUGGCUGCAUUCUUUUUUCAAGCAGUUCUACGGAUCAGUAAGUAAAACCGACUACACCACAAUGCGUCUUGGUUUUAUCAUGACCCACUGCCGUGGAAACUUGAAAUUCGAUUUCCAUAAAUACAUGCUGCGGGUUUUAGAGUCUGAUUUUAAGAAGGUGGUUGGCAUAAGCUGGUACUUGUGGGUAUUCGUGGUGAUCUUUCUGUUGCUGAAUGUUAAUGGGUGGCACACAUACUUUUGGAUCGCAUUCAUUCCCCUUAUUCUUCUGCUAGCCGUCGGCACCAAACUGGAGCAUGUCAUAGCUCAGUUAGCCCAGGAUGUAGCUGAGAAGCACUCGGCGGUCGAGGGCGAUUUGAUCGUAAAGCCAUCAGAUGACCACUUCUGGUUCGGGCGGCCGAGGAUCGUCCUGUUCCUGAUCCACUUCAUCCUCUUCCAGAACGCAUUCGAGAUUGCAUUCUUCUUCUGGAUACUGACCACCUACGGAUUCAACUCCUGCAUCAUGGGGCAGGUUGGCUUCAUUGUGCCGAGGCUUGUUAUUGGGCUCAUCAUUCAGCUUCUCUGCAGCUACAGCACCCUACCUCUGUAUGCAAUUGUAACACAGAUGGGAAGCUUCUACAAGAAGGAGAUCUUCAAUGAGCAUGUGCAGCAGGGUGUCCUGGGUUGGGCUCAGAAGGCCAAGAUGAAGAAGGGGUUCAAGAAGAACAAUGGCGCGGCCCAAUCGACGAGCCCCGUCGAUUCUGCGGGGCCUUCUGCUAAGGUUGAAAUGAUAAAACGACCGGCGCGGGAAGGCAACGAUGCUGGUGAAAGCAUAGAAUGA
rnacentral:rRNA from 1 species